GUGGGGAAUAUUGGACAAUGGGGGGAACCCUGAUCCAGCCAUGCCGCGUGUGUGAAGAAGGCCUUUUGGUUGUAAAGCACUUUAAGCGAGGAGGAGGCUACCGAGAUUAAUACUCUUGGAUAGUGGACGUUACUCGCAGAAUAAGCACCGGCUAACUCUGUGCCAGCAGCCGCGGUAAUACAGAGGGUGCAAGCGUUAAUCGGAUUUACUGGGCGUAAAGCGCGCGUAGGUGGCCAAUUAAGUCAAAUGUGAAAUCCACGAGCUUAACUUGGGAAUUGCAUUCGAUACCGGUUGGCUAGAGUAUGGGAGAGGAUUGUAGAAUUCCAGGUGUAGCGGUGAAAUGCGUAGAGAUCUGGAGGAAUACCGAUGGCGAAGGCAGCCAUCUGGCCUAAUACUGACACUGAGGUGCGAAAGCAUGGGGAGCAAACAGGAUUAGAAACCCCGGUAGUCC
rnacentral:rRNA from 1 species